GAUGAAGAACGUAGCGAAAUGCGAUAAGUAAUGUGAAUUGCAGAAUUCAGUGAAUCAUCGAAUCUUUGAACGCACAUUGCGCCCGCCAGCAUUCUGGCGGGCAUGCCUGUUCGAGCGUCAUUUCAACCCUCGAGCCCCCCCGGGGGGCUCGGUGUUGGGGGACGGCACACCAGCCGCCCCCGAAAUGCAGUGGCGACCCCGCCGCAGCCUCCCCUGCGUAGUAGCACACACCUCGCACCGGAGCGCGGAGGCGGUCACGCCGUAAAACGCCCAACUUUCUUAGAGUUGACCUCGGAUCAGGUAGGAAUACCCGCUGAACUUAAGCAUAUCAAUAAGCGGAGGA
rnacentral:misc_RNA from 1 species